AUGACAGGAAUUCAAAGAAUAAUUACAAAGAAAAAAGAAACCACUCUUCACAUUGCUGCAGCAGCAAACCAGGAAAAAUUUGUGCGGAAUUUAUUGAGGACGAUGAUUUACAACAACCCAUACGAAAACCUAACAGCUGUUAAUGAGAUUGGGAACACUGCCUUGACUUACGCUGCUGCAACUGGAAAUGUGAAUAUUGCCAUGGCGAUGCUGGAAAUAAAUAGUGACCUGCCAAACCUUCAUAGUGGGGUGAAACCACUCUGUAUGGCUGCUUCCUUAGGACACAGAAAAAUGGUGCAGCUUCUUUAUUCUCGGACCAAAGAGGUGGUUCGCGAGUGGAAGGAAGAUGAGCAGGAUGAUUUAUUUAUCACUUGCAUUGAGGGUGACUUAUAUGGUAAGCAGAAGAAAUUAUACUGUUUCUUGCUUUUUUCUUUUUGGAGGGGGAGUUUUGAAAUUCGAAAUAUUAACCAUGGCUUAAACAUUUAAAGUGGUGUGACAAGUUCAUAUAAUCUAAGCUAAACGAGGACAAGAUACACAAUUUCACUCAUUUUCUAAAUGUGGUAUGAAAGUAUUGGUUCGGAUUAAUAUACUAAUCGGUCAUCUUUACUUCAUAGCUUAAAUUUUUAGUUUCAACGAACUUUACCAUGCCAUCUUUCUUACAUUUUUUCUUUUUUCUUGAAACUACAGUAUCAAAUAAUUUGUAGCAUUGUGAUCUUCUCUUUUCUUAUAUAUAUAUAUAUAUAUAUAAAGAAUGAGAUUCUUCAUAUCGAAUUCUAUCUGAUUAAGAUUGAAAAUUCAAUAUGGGUAUGAGACACCCUUGAACGUUUAGACCCCAAAUUAUAAAAAUACCAAUUCAAGCUUAUAAUCAAACAAUUAAAGUGCGGAAUAUGAACAUAAGCCAAUCAUUGAAUAGGUAACUAAUCUAAGCCAAAUAUAAACACAUCAACAGUAGUAAAUAUAAGGCAAAGAUAAAGGGAAGAGAGAUGCAAACACAAAGACAACACGCGAUGUGUUAUCGAAGAGGAAACCGAAACUCUCGGCGUAAAACCUCUCCGCCGCCCUCCAAGCGGUCAAUAAUCUAAUAAUAGAUAUAAAAAAAAAAAAAAAAAAAAAAACUUGUUUUUCUAGUACAUUUCAACUCAAUCAUAUAUGAUCAAUCAAAAGGGAAACUAAAAUACAUUUCAACUCAAUCAUAUAUGAUCUACCAAAAGGGAACUUAAUAUUCUUAUAAAAACUAAAAAUAAUUUAUAAUUGACAUUGUACUAAAUUUGGUUGUAAUCUACCUUUUAAUAUAUAAAAUCAAAGACUUUGUGAGAAUACAAAGUCUAUUUUAUUAUGAGUUAGAUUUUGACAAUAUUAAUUAUUGAAAUUCUUCGUUUCAUAGUUGUAGUAAAAACUUAGUAAGCACAAAUACGAUAACUUUAAAAACAAAUUGGUAGGCAAUUAAAUUUUUUGGUCCUUACUAGUUUAAUAAUUAUUUGAGGUCCAAAUGUCAAAUUAGUUUAUGCCCAUAAUUGUAAAUUACCACCUUCAACAAUAAUUUUUCAUGAUUUGAAGUCUUACAGAUAAUACCUUUUUACCAACAAACAAAUAUUACCAAUUCUAAAAGAUUCAUAGGCUCGAGGAUGCAAAGCUAGGCUAAGAAUAAGUAAUUCUACGCUCACUAACCUGAUGAUUUACUUCUUGUAAUUAAGAAUUAUUGAAGCAUUGAAGUUAUCUAAUUGAUAAUGAUGUUCAAUUACAAAAUUAUCUUGCAGAGCUCAGCCCAAACACAAUCUACACCCAUUUUGAGUGUAGAGAGUUGAUUUGGAGCAAUUGAAAACAUCGAGUUCAUGCCAAAUUUUGGUAGGAGCAAUUGGUUAUAUUUGUGGGAUCCAAGAAGUUAUCAAAGACAAGACUUGGUGAAGUCUGUUUGUAGCUAGAGCUUGUAGGGUUCAAGUAUAGGAGGUAGUGUUAGGUUUAGACCCUUGAGACAGAAAAUGUUUAAUUAGUUUUAAGGUCAAGUUAUUAAUUAGGUCAAUUAUGCAAGUCCUAGGUUAAACAAAUAAUCAAGCAUAUUAUGUAAAAAGGAAUACUAAAUGACACAAGAUAUGAUGACCUAGGAAAUCUUAUGAAACAACUUGUUCCAAAGGAAACACUUGGGGGGGGACCAAUCCCAAGAUGAAAAAAAUCCACUAUUAGACAGAGAUUUACAAUCAGAAUAACUCUAUUUAUUAUAAAUCUAAUAAAAGUUAUUGAAUUAAGAUUUGAAUCCCACAAAAGUCUCUGAUAUAGAUGUGUUCCAAACAUGAACUUCCAAUCACAACUCCAAGAUUACCCUUGAAGGUUUUCUCCAACAUAGACCUCCAGUCUAUAACUCUAAGAUCAUACUUGAAGGUUUAGAUCCAGCACCUUUAAUGACUAGUUUGCAGCAAAUUUAGAUCUACCAGUUCAAAUUGUAUGUAAAUUGAUUAUGGGUAGUGACUUAGAAAGGAGAAGACACAAAACCUUUUAGAUCUCAAUUGAGUAGCUCCAAAGUCUUUUAAAACAUGCCUUAGGGUUUUCUUUAUAUAUUUAGUAAAGUAGGUAUAAAACCCUAAAUAUCUAAUGGAAUAAUGGGCUAAAAAAUAAAUUUUGCAUAUUCGACUUUCAAUCAGUCGAACUUAAGUUUUGUGGAAAGGUUUUUCCGCUGAGUUUUUUGGUUUUCUUCUUCAAUAAGACAAUAACACAUUGCCUGUUAACUUGUGUUUGUUCUUUUCUUCCUUUAUUACUUGUGCUUUUACUUAAUGGUUUAUUAUGUUUAUCCAUGCACUUGUUGGUAGUCUUGAUUGAUUAGGUUGUUUAUCUCUCUUAUUUUGCAUUGCUUAGAGUAGAUUAAAACUAAUCAAACCAUAAUUUAAAAUUUGAAGGUCUUAAUUAGCUCUAGCAUUUAGACUAUCGAGCUUUCACUAUAUAUAUAUAUAUAUAUACAUUUUUCACAACUUUUUGUACAUCCUACAAAAGUGGAUAGGCUAUGAAUUUCAUGUGAAUAUAUCACUAACGCUACUUAAUUGUCUCUUAUUUACAGUAAACCAUAUAUAUAUAUAUAUAUAUAAGUGGGAUGAUGUCUCUCUUUAGAUUUGUUCGUACUUUUGUCUCAAUAAUAAGUGGAUCCUUGCAAUGAGACGUGAUCCAGGUUGAACUCAAACCUAAGUGGGUUAGAUGAAGUAUCCAAGCCUUAUCAGCUGAGCCAAGCCCUUGCUGGCGAAACUCGUCUCUUCAAGAUAUGAGUUUCAGUUUGAACUUUGAAGAAAUGAGUUUUAAAGAGUCAAAUUCUUCAAUUAACUUUCAAACAAUGCUGUUUUGGCACAUACUUCUCAAAAGAAUAUUAUUCAACCAAAAAGGCCAGAGUCUUACACCAAAUUAAGAAAAGAUUAAAAUUCUGAUUGGGAAAAAGUACAAACCAUUUUAUAAUUAUAGGGUUUGUCCUUUUUGACAAAUUAGAAUUAUGUCUUUUCUGUUGGUCGUGCUAAUUUGGCUUAUGUAAAGAACUUUCACAUAAAUUUCGUCAUGCAUCACACAAUUUAUAUUUAAUACUGAAAUCUUUCUUUUCAGGUACACAAAAGCUAACUGAUAAGUUGCAAUGGAAAGAAAUAAUGUCGAUUUAAACGACGGUAAAUAAUUUGCAUUCUUAUCUAGUAGGGUUUCCAUGAGUUCUUCUUACCUCUUAACGAAAUGAAUACGCCAGACUAAGGUAUCUCUAAAGCCAGCAAUCAAAAUACACUUUCAAAUUAACAUAAAUUUUUUCAUUCAAAAUAUAAUAUCAAUACAGUAAAAAACAAUUAUGUCCUGUUAUAAAUGUUCCACUUGAUAUUCCACCGAUUAUAGUUUGUUAUACAUAAUUUUAUUUGUUUAUAAAAUAACUAUAGUUUAUUAUUGGAAAAAAUCAAUCAAAAAUAAAUACUGCAAUUGAAGUAUAAAAUAGGACAGUAAGAAUAAAAAAGAAUAUUUUUAUUCUAUAAAAUACUUUUACUAUGAUUUUUACUUGUGGGAAGAUUUAUCUGGUUGCGCUGAAUGGUGACUAGAAAUCUACUAAGGACAUGACAAACAUUCAAAGAAUAAUUACAAAGAAAGAAGAAACCACUCUCCAUAAUUUAUUUUUAUUAUUAAAUACUAAAUUUUGUUACAGAAAAAAUAGUCAAACGUAAAAUAUUGUAGUUGCUGUUGGAGUAUAAAAUAAAAUGAACAAUGUCUAUUUCACACACUCAUUUACACACACAACUUUUUGAACAAAUAUCAUAACUUGAUGCACAAUUUUAGUUCAAAAAACUGAGGGUGUAUAUCGUGUGUAAUUGAGUGUGCAAUAAACAUUUCCUAAAAUACAAAACUAAAACAAGAAAUAAAAUUUUUAAUUUAUGAUGGGGUUUUUAUUAUCACGCAUCCACUAUUUCACAUAUCCAACUAUUUCACAUAUCUUUUCUCACAUGCACUUUUAUGUGUUAAAAUAUGGAUAUUUUUAAUAUCAAUUAUAGAUAUGCGUGUAAAAUAGUAAAUGUAAACUAGUGUGAAAAAAUAUUUUUCUAUCUAUAAAAUAUUUGCACUAUGAUUUUUACUAAUUAGUCAGAAGAAUUCCCUCUUAUAGAUGAAGCUGGCAGUGCAGCGCGUAGGAAGCUUUAUCUGGCUGCGCUAAAUGGUGACUGGAAAUCUGUUGAGGACAUGCCAGAUAUUCAAAGAAGAAUUACAACUAUAGGAGAAACUGCUCUUCAUAUUGCUGCUGCAGCAAACCAGGAAGACUUUGUGAAGAAUUUAUUGAAUAGAUUAAGCAGAGAAAACCUAGCAGCUGAGAACAAUGUUGGAAACACUGCCUUGCACUACGCUACUGCAGCUGGAAAUGUGAAAAUUGCCAAGUUGAUGCUAGAGAAAAGAUCUGAUCUGCCAAACCUAGGUAGUGAGGAGAAACCGCUCUUUAUGGCUGCUUCGUUAGGACACAGUCAAAUGGCGCAGUUCCUUUAUAAUAAAACUAAAGGAAUAGUUUGCGGGUGGAAUCAAACUGAACAAGCCAAACUAUUUAUCACUUGUGUUGGGGGUGAAUUAUAUGGUAAGCAUAAGUAAUUAUGAUGUUUAUUGCCUUAUUCUUUUGUUUUGUUUUGUUUUUUGUUUUUUGGUUUUUUUUUGAGGGGUUCAUAACAGUUUGAUUUUGUCAUUCUAGAAUUUGAAGUUCAAAACAUUAAUCAUGGUUUAAACAUUGAAAAAUGGUAUUGUUAAAUUAAAACAAUGUAAGCCAUUCAUUUAAUUUCUAAAUGAGGAAAAGUUAUCCAUUUUCACUCAUUUUCUAAAUGUGGUAUCAUAGUAUUGCCGGAUUGGAGAUUUUGGUACGGAAUUAUAUAUUGAUUGGUAUUUAAACUGAUAAUUUUUAAAUAUGGACAAUUAUUUGUUUACAUUUAUUGUUCAUGUAAAUUGGACACAUUUUUUUGUUUGUUUGUUUAUAAUAUAAAUCUCAAUAGUAAAGUGUAAAUUAAUAAUUUCCCUCUCUCUCUCUCUCUCUCUCUAUGAUUAUCUCAGGCUUUGCCUAGUUUAUAUGAUCUUUCCUGAAAGAAAUAUCAACAUGUUCCUUCUCAAUAUUUUUUACUAUAUUAAUAAACCAUAACUAAAUACUAGUAUACUACAACACAUGGAGAGGAAAAAGAAUUCCGUCCAUGAAUAUUUUUGCUUGGAAUUUUUCAUUUUGGUAUAAGAUAAUGCAGGGAUAGCCAUGGAAAUCCUGAUGAUCAACCGUAAUAUUGCGACCGCUAGAAACAUGGAAGGAAAGACUGCAUUGCAAUUGUUAGCUCGCAAUCCUUCAGCAUUUGUCAGUAAAAGUCGAUCAUGUGAGUUUUUUUUUUUUUUUAUCAACCGAUACAUAUGAAACGUCUCUUCUUCUUCUUCUUCUUCUUCUUCCCUUUUUUUUUUUUUUUUUUUUAGAAAAAAAAAAUAAUAGGGGUUAGCUAAGUUAUGCCAGCCUCUGGGCAGGGCACUAAGGUCAAUGUUCAUGGGCCAACCCGUGUGGAUGUCCACCAAUGGACUCUUGCUGGCAGUGAGACUAAAAUCUAGGUGGGUUAGACGAAGUAUCCAAGCCUUACCAAUUGAGCCAAGCCCUUGUUGGCGAAACUCGUCUCUUCAAGAUAUGAGUUUCAAUUUGAACUUUGAAGAAAUGAGUUUUAAAGAGUCAAAUUCUUCAAUUACUUUCAAACAAUGCUGUUUUGGCACAUACUUCUCAAAAGAAUAUUAUUCAACCAAAAAGGCUCGAGAGUCUUACACCAAAUUAAGAAAAUAUUAAAAUUCUGAUUGGGAAAAAGUACAAACCAUUUUAUAAUUAUAGGGUUUGUCCUUUUUGACAAAUUAGAAUUAUCUCUUUUAUGUUGGUCAUGCUAAUUUGGCUUAUGUAAAGAACGUUCACAUAAAUUUCGUCAUGCAUCACACAAUUUAUAUUUAAUACUGAAAUCUUUCUUUUCAGGUACACAAAAGCUAACUGAUAAGUUGCAAUGGAAAGAAAUAAUGUCGAUUUAAACGACGGUAAAUAAUUUACAUUCUUAUCUAGUAGGGUUUCCAUGAGUUCUUCUUACCUCUUAACGAAAUGAAUACGCCAGACUAAGACAUCUCUAAAGCCAGCAAUCAAAAUACACUCUCAAAUUAACAUAAAUUUUUUCAUUCAAAAUAUAAUAUCAAUACAGCAAAAAACAAUUAUGUCCUGUUAUAAAUGUUCCACUUGAUAUUUCAGCAAUUAUAGUUUGUCAUACAUAAUUUUAUUUUUUUGUAAAAUAACUAUAGUUUAGAAUUGGAAAAAAUAAAUCAAAAAUAAAUAUUAUGAUUGAAGUAUAAAAUAGGACAGUAAGAAUAAAAAAGAAGAUUCUUAUUCUAUGAAAUACUUAUACUUUUACUAUGAUUUUUACUUGUACAGAGCGUAGGAAGAUUUAUCUGGUUGGGCUGAAUGGUGACUAG
rnacentral:sRNA from 1 species